rnacentral:rRNA from 1 species
GCACCGGCUAACUCCGUGCCAGCAGCCGCGGUAAUACGGAGGUGCGAGCGUUAAUCGGAAUUACUGGGCGUAAAGCGCAUGCAGGUGGUUUGUUAAGUCAGAUGUGAAAGACCCGGGGCUCAACCUCGGAAUAGCAUUUGAAACUAGGCAGACUAGAGUACUGUAGAGGGGGGUAGGAAUUUCAGGUGUAGCGGUGAAAUGCGUAGAGAUCUGAAGGAAUACCGGUGGCGAAGGCGGCCCCCUCGGACAGAUACUGACACUCAGAUGCGAAAGCGUGGGGAGCAAACAGGAUUAGAUACCCUGGUAG